GACAGAGGGUGCAAACGUUGUUCGGAAUUACUGGGCGUAAAGCGCGUGUAGGCGGCCCUGCAAGUCGGGUGUGAAAUCCCACGGCUCAACCGUGGAAGUGCACUCGAAACUGCAGGGCUAGAGUCCUGGAGAGGAAGGUGGAAUGCUUGGUGUAGAGGUGAAAUUCGUAGAUAUCAAGCGGAACACCGGUGGCGAAGGCGGCCUUCUGGGACAGUGACGUGACGCUGAGACGCGAAAGCGUGGGGAGCA
rnacentral:rRNA from 1 species